GACGAACGCUGGCGGCGUGCUUAACACAUGCAAGUCGAGCGGUAAGGCCCUUUCGGGGGUACACGAGCGGCGAACGGGUGAGUAACACGUGGGUGACCUGCCCUCAGCUCUGGGAUAAGCCUGGGAAACCGGGUCUAAUACCGGAUAUGACUCCAUGACGCAUGUUGUGGGGUGGAAAGCCUUGUGCGGCUGAGGAUGGGCCCGCGGCCUAUCAGCUUGUUGGUGGGGUGAUGGCCUACCAAGGCGACGACGGGUAGCCGGCCUGAGAGGGCGACCGGCCACACUGGGACUGAGACACGGCCCAGACUCCACGGGAGGCAGCAGUGGGGAAUCUUGCGCAAGU
rnacentral:rRNA from 1 species